rnacentral:rRNA from 1 species
AUUGAACGCUGGCGGCAUGCCUUACACAUGCAAGUCGAACGGCAGCGGACCUUCGGGUGCCGGCGACCGGCGCACGGGUGCGUAACACGUAUGCAACCUACCUUCAACUGGAGCAUAACGCUGAGAAAUCGGUGCUAAUUCUCCAUAACAUUAUGAUGUGGCAUCACAUUAUUAUUAAAGUUCCGACGGUUGAAGAUGAGCAUGCGGGACAUUAGCUAGUUGGUGAGGUAACGGCUCACCAAGGCCACGAUGUCGAGGGGUUCUGAGAGGAUUAUCCCCCACACUGGUACUGAGACACGGACCAGACUCCUACGGGAGGCAGCAGUAGGGAAUAUUGGUCAAUGGACGCAAGUCUGAACCAGCCAUGCCGCGUGCAGGAAGACGGCCCUAUGGGUUGUAAACUGCUUUUGUACAGGAGAAAACCUUCGGACGUGUCCGGAGCUGAUAGUACUGUAAGAAUAAGGAUCGGCUAACUCCGUGCCAGCAGCCGCCGUAA